GACGAACGCUGGCGGCGUGCUUAACACAUGCAAGUCGAACGGAAAGGCCCUGCUUUUGUGGGGUGCUCGAGUGGCGAACGGGUGAGUAACACGUGAGUAACCUGCCCUUGACUUUGGGAUAACUCCAGGAAACUGGGGCUAAUACCGGAUAGGAGCUCCUGCUGCAUGGUGGGGGUUGGAAAGUUUCGGCGGUUGGGGAUGGACUCGCGGCUUAUCAGUUUGUUGGGGGGGUAGUGGCUUACCAAGGCUUUGACGGGUAGCCGGCCUGAGAGGGUGACCGGCCACAUUGGGACUGAGGUACGGCCCAGACUCCUACGGGAGGCAGCAGUGGGGAAUAUUGCACAAUGGGCGGAAGCCUGAUGCAGCAACGCCGCGUGCGGGAUGACGGCCUUCGGGUUGUAAACCGCUUUCGCCUGUGACGAAGCGUGAGUGACGGUAAUGGGUAAAGAAGCACCGGCUAACUACGUG
rnacentral:rRNA from 1 species